ACGCCGCGUGAGUGAAGAAGGGUUUCGGCUCGUAAAACUCUGUUGUUAAAGAAGAACAUAUCUGAGAGUAACUGUUCAGGUAUUGACGGUAUUUAACCAGAAAGCCACGGCUAACUACGUGCCAGCAGCCGCGGUAAUACGUAGGUGGCAAGCGUUGUCCGGAUUUAUUGGGCGUAAAGCGAGCGCAGGCGGUUUUUUAAGUCUGAUGUGAAAGCCUUCGGCUUAACCGAAGAAGUGCAUCGGAAACUGGGAAACUUGAGUGCAGAAGAGGACAGUGGAACUCCAUGUGUAGCGGUGAAAUGCGUAGAUAUAUGGAAGAACACCAGUGGCGAAGGCGGCUGUCUGGUCUGUAACUGACGCUGAGGCUCGAAAGUAUGGGUAGCAAACAGGAUUAGAUACCCUGGUAGUCCAUACCGUAAACGAUGAAUGCUAAGUGUUGGAGGGUUUCCGCCCUUCAGUGCUGCAGCUAACGCAUUAAGCAUUCCGCCUGGGGAGUACGGCCGCAAGGCUGAAACUCAAAGGAAUUGACGGGGGCCCGCACAAGCGGUGGAGCAUGUGGUUUAAUUCGAAGCUACGCGAAGAACCUUACCAGGUCUUGACAUACUAUGCAAAUCUAAGAGAUUAGACGUUCCCUUCGGGGACAUGGAUACAGGUGGUGCAUGGUUGUCGUCAGCUCGUGUCGUGAGAUGUUGGGUUAAGUCCCG
rnacentral:rRNA from 2 species